CUGAAAUAGGCAUACCCAUACCCACUGCUGGACGAGACAACCCUUGCUCUCUCUCAUACAUGGGCAAGUACUGUCAGGUAUCGCACGCCCUUCGCGUGCACUUCCACCAGAUGGA
rnacentral:ribozyme from 1 species